rnacentral:rRNA from 1 species
GACGAAGGGGGCUAGCGUUGCUCGGAAUCACUGGGCGUAAAGCGCACGUAGGCGGACUCUUAAGUCGGUGGUGAAAUCCUGGAGCUCAACUCCAGAACUGCCUUCGAUACUGGGAGUCUCGAGUCCGGGAGAGGUGAGUGGAACUGCGAGUGUAGAGGUGAAAUUCGUAGAUAUUCGCAAGAACACCAGUGGCGAAGGCGGCUCACUGGCCCGGUACUGACGCUGAGGUGCGAAAGCGUGGUGAGCAAACAGG